rnacentral:rRNA from 1 species
AGUGAACGCUGGCGGUAGGCCUGACACAUGCAAGUCGAACGGCAGCACAGUAAGAGCUUGCUCUUACGGGUGGCGAGUGGCGGACGGGUGAGGAAUACAUCGGAAUCUACUUUUUCGUGGGGGAUAACGUAGGGAAACUUACGCUAAUACCGCAUACGACCUACGGGUGAAAGCAGGGGAUCUUCGGACCUUGCGCGGUUGAAUGAGCCGAUGUCGGAUUAGCUAGUUGGCGGGGUAAAGGCCCACCAAGGCGACGAUCCGUAGCUGGUCUGAGAGGAUGAUCAGCCACACUGGAACUGAGACACGGUCCAGACUCCUACGGGAGGCAGCAGUGGGGAAUAUUGGACAAUGGGCGCAAGCCUGAUCCAGCCAUACCGCGUGGGUGAAGAAGGCCUUCGGGUUGUAAAGCCCUUUUGUUGGGAAAGAAAAGCAGCAGGUUAAUACCCCGCUGUUCUGACGGUACCCAAAGAAUAAGCACCGGCUAACUUCGUG